UACAGAGACUGCAAGCGUUAUUCGGAUUCACUGGGCGUAAAGGGUGCGCAGGCGGUUGGGUGUGUCAGAUGUGAAAUCCCGAGGCUCAACCUCGGAACUGCGUCUGAAACUACUCGACUAGAGUACUGGAGAGGGUAACGGAAUUCACGGUGUAGCAGUGAAAUGCGUAGAUAUCGUGAGGAACACCAGAGGCGAAGGCGGUUACCUGGACAGUUACUGACGCUCAGGCACGAAAGCAUGGGGGAGCAAAAGGG
rnacentral:rRNA from 1 species